rnacentral:rRNA from 1 species
AGAGUUUGAUCCUGGCUCAGAUUGAACGCUGGCGGCGUGCUUUACACAUGCAAGUCGAACGGCAGCAUAACCUUCGGUAGAUGGCGAGUGGCGAACGGGUCGAGUAAUACAUCGGAACGUACCUAUUAGUGGGGGAGUAACUAGUUGAAAGAUUAGCUAAUACCGCAUAAUCUCUGAGGAGGAAAAGCUGGGGACCGUGUGAGGGCCUGGCGCUGAUAGAGCGGCCGAUGGUCGAUUAGCUAGUUGGCGGGGUAAGAGCCCACCAAGGCGAUGAUCGAUAGCUGUUCUGAGAGGAAGAUCAGCCACACUGGAACUGAGACACGGUCCAGACUCCUACGGGAGGCGAC